rnacentral:rRNA from 1 species
UACGAAGGGGGCUAGCGUUGCUCGGAAUCACUGGGCGUAAAGGGUGCGUAGGCGGUUUUUUAAGUCAGGGGUGAAAUCCUGGAGCUCAACUCCAGAACUGCCUUUGAUACUGAGGAUCUUGAGUUCGGGAGAGGUGAGUGGAACUGCGAGUGUAGAGGUGAAAUUCGUAGAUAUUCGCAAGAACACCAGUGGCGAAGGCGGCUCACUGGCCCGGUACUGACGCUGAGGUGCGAAAGCGUGGGGAGCAAACAGG